UGCCUCAGACAUGCAGAGUCGAACGAUUAAACUUUCCUUCGGGAAAGAUAUAAAGUGGCGUACGGGUGAGUAACACGUAAGUAAUCUACCUUUGGGUGGGGGGUAACUCAGGGAAACUUGAGCUAAUACCGCAUAAUGCAGCGGCAUCAUAUGAUGACGGUUGUUAAAGCAUUUAUGUGCCUAAAGAGGAGCUUGCGGCAGAUUAGCUAGUUGGUAAGGUAAUGGCUUACCAAGGCAACGAUCUGUAGCCGACCUGAGAGGGUGGUCGGUCACACUGACACUGAAUAACGGGUCAGACUCCUACGGGAGGCAGCAGUCGGGAAUUUUGGGCAAUGGGCGAAAGCCUGACCCAGCAACGCCGCGUGAAGGAUGAAGUCUUUCGGGAUGUAAACUUCGGAAAUAUAGGAAGAAUAAAUGACGGUACUAUAUCUAAGGUCCGGCUAACUACGUGCCAGCAGCCGCGGUAAUACGUAGGGACCAAGCGUUGUUCGGAUUUACUGGGCGUAAAGGGUGCGUAGGCGGCGUGACAAGUCACUUGUGAAAUCUCCGGGCUUAACUCGGAACUGCCAAGUGAUACUGUCGUGCUAGAGUACAGAAAGGGUAACUGGAAUUCUUGGUGUAGCGGUGAAAUGCGUAGAUAUCAAGAGGAACACCUGAGGCGAAGGCGAGUUACUAGGCUGAUACUGACGCUGAGGCACGAAAGCUAGGGGAGCGAACGGGAUUAGAUACCCCGGUAGUCCUACCC
rnacentral:rRNA from 1 species